AGACAUCGCCUUCUUACAAUGCAGAACAGACGAUGCACUGUCUCAGGUCACGCUUAGCCUCCUACGGGGGCACGACAGAAGAAGAGGAACAUUUAGAGAGGCACAGCUCCUACAUCCUUGGAUGGGGAGAGUGGGGAGCAAACAGGCCAGUUCACACUUCUUUCCUCUGUGAAGCCUUCCUUCUCCCAGCAUUCCCUCCCCUCACCCUACUGUGUUGUGGCCACCACUCUGCCUGGGACUACAGCCAUUUGUCCUUCUGCCUCUCCUCUGCCUGAGAGCAAGGUGAGAGGAUCCCGUUCCUGUUCUCCAUCUCCUGCC
rnacentral:lncRNA from 1 species